rnacentral:rRNA from 1 species
AUGAACGCUGGCGGCGUGCCUAAUCCAUGCAAGUCGAGCGAACAGACGAGGAGCUUGCUCCUCUGACGUUAGCGGCGGACGGGUGAGUAACACGUGGAUAACCUACCUAUAAGACUGGGAUAACUUCGGGAAACCGGAGCUAAUACCGGAUAAUAUAUUGAACCGCAUGGUUCAAUAGUGAAAGACGGUUUUGCUGUCACUUAUAGAUGGAUCCGCGCCGCAUUAGCUAGUUGGUAAGGUAACGGCUUACCAAGGCAACGAUGCGUAGCCGACCUGAGAGGGUGAUCGGCCACACUGGAACUGAGACACGGUCCAGACUCCUACGGGAGGCAGCAGUAGGGAAUCUUCCGCAAUGGGCGAAAGCCUGACGGAGCAACGCCGCAUGAGUGAUGAAGGUCUUCGGAUCGUAAAACUCUGUUAUUAGGGAAGAACAAAUGUGUAAGUAACUAUGCACGUCUUGACGGUACCUAAUCAGAAAGCCACGGCUAACUACGUG